rnacentral:rRNA from 1 species
GAUGAACGCUGGCGGCGUGCCUAAUACAUGCAAGUCGAGCGAACGGACGAGAAGCUUGCUUCUCUGAUGUUAGCGGCGGACGGGUGAGUAACACGUGGAUAACCUACCUAUAAGACUGGGAUAACUUCGGGAAACCGGAGCUAAUACCGGAUAAUAUUUUGAACCGCAUGGUUCAAAAGUGAAAGACGGUCUUGCUGUCACUUAUAGAUGGAUCCACGCUGCAUUAGCUAGUUGGUAAGGUAACGGCUUACCAAGGCAACGAUGCAUAGUCGACCUGAGAGGGUGAUCGGCCGCACUGGAACUGAGACACGGUCCAGACUCCUACGGGAGGCAGCAGUAGGGAAUCUUCCGCAAUGGGCGAAAGCCUGACGGAGCAACGCCGCGUGAGUGAUGAAGGUCUUCGGAUCGUAAAACUCUGUUAUUAGGGAAGAACAUAUGUGUAAGUAACUGUGUACAUCUUGACGGUACCUAAUCAGAAAGCCACGGCUAACUACGUG